rnacentral:rRNA from 1 species
UGGCUAACUCUGUGCCAGCAGCCGCGGUAAUACAGAGACUGCAAGCGUUAUUCGGAUUCACUGGGCGUAAAGGGUGCGCAGGUGGCAAUGUGUGUUAGGCGUGAAAGCCCGGGGCUUAACCCCGGAAUUGCACCUAAAACUACAUAGCUAGAGCAUUGGAGAGGGGAGCAGAAUUCACGGUGUAGCAGUGAAAUGCGUAGAUAUCGUGAGGAAUACCAGGGGCGAAGGCGGCUCCCUGGACAAUUGCUGACACUCAGGCACGAAAGCGUGGGGAGCAAAAGGG